rnacentral:rRNA from 1 species
GAUGAACGCUGGCGGCGUGCCUAAUACAUGCAAGUCGAGCGAAUGGAUUAAGAGCUUGCUCUUAUGAAGUUAGCGGCGGACGGGUGAGUAACACGUGGGUAACCUGCCCAUAAGACUGGGAUAACUCCGGGAAACCGGGGCUAAUACCGGAUAACAUUUUGAACCGCAUGGUUCGAAAUUGAAAGGCGGCUUCGGCUGUCACUUAUGGAUGGACCCGCGUCGCAUUAGCUAGUUGGUGAGGCAACGGAUCACCAAGGCAACGAUGCGUAGCCGCCCUGAGAGGGUGAUCGGCCACACUGGGACUGAGACACGGCCCAGACUCCUACGGGAGGCAGCAGUAGGGAAUCUUCCGCAAUGGACGAAAGUCUGACGGAGCAACGCCGCGUGAGUGAUGAAGGCUUUCGGGUCGUAAAACUCUGUUGUUAGGGAAGAACAAGUGCUAGUUGAAUAAGCUGGCACCUUGACGGUACCUAACCAGAAAGCCACGGCUAACUACGUGCCAGCCGCCGCCGUAA